GCCUAACACAUGCAAGUCGAACGGUAACAGGAAGCAGCUUGCUGCUUCGCUGACGAGUGGCGGACGGGUGAGUAAUGUCUGGGAAACUGCCUGAUGGAGGGGGAUAACUACUGGAAACGGUGGCUAAUACCGCAUAACGUCGCAAGACCAAAGAGGGGGACCUUCGGGCCUCUUGCCAUCAGAUGUGCCCAGAUGGGAUUAGCUUGUUGGUGAGGUAACGGCUCACCAAGGCGACGAUCCCUAGCUGGUCUGAGAGGAUGACCAGCCACACUGGAACUGAGACACGGUCCAGACUCCUACGGGAGGCAGCAGUGGGGAAUAUUGCACAAUGGGCGCAAGCCUGAUGCAGCCAUGCCGCGUGUAUGAAGAAGGCCUUCGGGUUGUAAAGUACUU
rnacentral:rRNA from 1 species